CCAAGGGUAAUUUUGUCAUAAAGCUAUUUUUAAAGAACAAAGUCGCUGGAAGGUUUCAGUUGCCAUCCUCUUUUCUGCUUCUUUCUUUCCAUCUCUCUCUGCCCCAGUUUCUUUAUCUCCCAAACCCUAAUUUUUCUGUCUUUCUGAUCUCAUGUCUCUACUCGUGCCGAUCAAUCGAACACCGUCCAGGAAUGCGUCUCCGAAUUCAUUAGCUUCGUCACCAGCGAGAGAUUGGGUUUUUCGAGUUUGUGACUUUUCAUUGAAGCCUGCGAAGACCUGUGUGUUUAAGGAGAUCCGGUUUUUCGGGUUUCUGACGUUUCUUUGCAGCCUGCGAAGGCCUCUGUAUUUAAGGGAAGAAAUUUUAAACCUACAAAAGCUUGGUUUUCAGGAAAUCGCCAAUCCUGCAGAAACUUUGGGUUUCCUGGCGAGUUCUCCGACUUAUUUGUUUCGGCUUUCUCACCAGAGAUCUCCGCCAUCACUGCUACACCAAACUCGCCGAUGGCGUCCCACUCUCUCAAACCAGAUCUUUGAGAGGACACACAUCAUUUAGCCGAUUGCAUAGGAUUGCUACAUCUGAACACUGUACAGGCCUCUUGAAUUUUGAAUUGUGAUUGAAAAUUGGAGUCCACACAUGGAGUAUAGGGAUGUUUGAUGUUCUUCUUCAGGUGCUUCUUCAGGUUCUUCUUCAGGUUUGUUCUAGAUCUUUCAAAGGACGCAUUUUCUUUUUUAUCCAUACCUUUACUUUUAUAGUAUGUUAUCACAAGAAUCAAUUGCCACCCAUAGUUGGUGGUAUUAUCUUUACAACACAUUCAAAGCAGUGAAUAAAAUCGCACUUGCUAUUUGUUCUGUCGAUUGGACUACUAGAGUAGAACUAUAGAAAUAUUUGGUGAAAGCAAUGAAGAAAUCAUUAUGAUUGAUCUGCAAAGAAGCUCUAAUAAGUUACAAGAUAGUAGCAAUGUAAAUUGAACUACUUAUUUUAUGGAUCAAUUCACCUAUCUCUUGCUUUCUUUCAUUUGGAGAUAAUUGUGUAAAUGUGUGGUUUUGUGAGUGUUACUCAUGUGAAACAUGUGUUGUCUGAAUUGCUACGUUUAAGAAUGUUAUUGUAAUUCUGUAGCAUUUUCAGUUAUUUUUUCUAUGAAUAUUAUCCAUGGUUUGAAAACUCGCAGCAAAGCGCGAGCAUUCCUGCUAGUGAUAUCGAUUCUGAAAGCAUGCUGAAAUAAGGUCGUUUGACCGCAAUUCACAAGAAUUGCUCUGCUGCGGUCCGAUCGGUUCAAAUUCAAACAACCCCAAUUAGGCUUCCACAACAUCAACAACCCAUGCGUUGAUCUGUACUUCCACUGCGCCAAGGACGCCAUGUCGACCGUGGAAUUCCACAAAACUCUGAUGAACCAAGUGUUUCCCUCAGCUGGUCGCACAAUCCUCUAACCACCCAUAAACUCAUUUGCAACUUCAUAGACAUACGCGACUAUGGUGGAAAAUGUAACCAAGACGAAGCUUUCUUCGCGGCAGCGGUUUGGCUCCACCAGAACCACCCCAAAACCCUUGCCUACAAUCUUGUGCCAAUUUCCGGCUCAUUUGGACAUAUCCUAGACCUUCCUUGCAUUCUCUCGCAGGUUUUACGGGGUGAAGCUCACUUGAAAUUUACUGGGAGGACGAGGGAGGAGGCAGAUUCAAACAAAAUGGUGAAGGUCAAGGAAAAGAACGUCAACUCAAAGGCAAGCGAAUUGUUGUUAAGGAGGAAGGCGAUCCACACGACCAACAAGGCGGCUCAGAGAUACGAGUGCGACGUUGAUUAUCGCUUAUUGCACGAAUGUGUUUCGGAUAUUUUUGCCCUGUGCCUUGAGUUUGAUAUUGAAAAUUUCAUCAUCACAAGGACCAUGACCAUCAUGAUGAUUACUGCUUGGAGAUUACCCAAGCGACUACCUUUUUGCCUACCAUCGCUGAUCAUCAUAUGUUGUCAGAAUCAUGCCUCUGAGAAGGGGAUGGUAGUCUUUGUUGUAUUGACCGACUGAGGAAGGAGGUUUUGUCGCCCUUGAGAAAAACUAUGGCAUCAGAGGGCUGGGAACCUGCCAACCGGUGGGGUUAUAGAGCGGAGUACAAGCAAGAGCAACUGGCUGCAACCAAUGAGGUUGAUCCUGGCGAUGCAGCUGCUUUCGCAUGACAUAUUAAGCUAUAUCAAGUAACUUGAGCUCGAACAUGAGGCUGAUGUUAAGUGGAAGAAAGUGAUGGAGGUCUACUCAAAGUAGGGAAAGUAUAAGAAUUGGUUGGCUAUGUGAUGUCGACAACACCUUGUCGGCAAGUUUGGCUUUGGGGCUUUUGUUGCUUCAAUUGAGUGAUGAGCCAUGGAAGGGAAAAGUGGUCACCUAAAGCCAAAACCCUUAGCUGCAUUCGAUACAAGGUGAGGAUCUUAAUUCGAGGGCUGAAUAUAUGUAGACUUUGAUCAAAAGCCAGGACUGGACAACUGAUUUCGGGAAGGUGUUCGAUGUGAUUCUAGAAGAGGUAGUGAAUGAGAAUUUGAAGCCAGAUAAGAUGGUCAAGAAGGUGCUUGCCUUGACCACAUACAAACACUUCUUGACAGGCAGCAACUUCAACUUCUGGGGGGAGAUUAAGAUGUCUCCCUUUGUUCUUCUAGUUUCUGCUACUACUUUCACUUCUCCAAAGCUCUCAUUCUUUCUUUGAGUUCUGAUGAGACUAAGAAACAGUAUAUAUAUAGGUGUAUAUGUGCUGCUAAUAAGUGUGUGUGUGUGCGCGCGCGCGCGUGUGCGUGUGCGCAUGUAAUUAAUACUUUUGUAGAGAAGAGCAAAGUGAGUGACAAAAGUGGGACUGGAAA